rnacentral:rRNA from 1 species
CUAUACAUGACUCUGCGCAUAUCAAUAAGCGGAGGAAAAGAAACUAACAAGGAUUCCCUUAGUAACGGCGAGUGAAGCGGGAAGAGCUCAAAUUUGAAAUCUUCAAGGUUCUACCUUGACGAAUUGUAGUUUAUAGAAGUGUUUUCUGUUAGUGGAGUGGCAAAAGUUCUUUGGAAUAGGACAUCAUAGAGGGUGAGAAUCCCGUAUUUGACCGUUACUUUCCAGCUGUGUGAUACACUUUCAAAGAGUCGGAUUGUUUGGGAAUGCAGUCCAAAAUGGGUGGUAAAUUUCAUCUAAAGCUAAAUAUUGGCGAGAGACCGAUAGCGAACAAGUACCGUGAGGGAAAGAUGAAAAGAACUUUGAAAAGAGAGUUAAACAGUACGUGAAAUUGUCAAAAGGGAAGCGUUUGACACCAGUGUUGUUUUCUCGAAAAUCAAUUAAAAAUGGCGGGAUUUUGUGUUGUAUUGACUUUAUCAGCUUUCUGCACUUUUUUCCUGUCUUUUUUAAUGCACUUUUCGUUUAACAAGUCAACAUCAAUUUCUUUUGUUGUAAAAGGGUAAGAGGAAGGUGGCUUGCGCUUCGGCUCAAGUGUUUAUAGCCUUUUACCUCUGCAAUCGGAGAGAUUGAGGUCUGCAGCGUAGACUCUUCGGGGUUAGAUACAUUUGUGCUAAGCUAUAGCCUUGUAUAGACAACUUGUUGACUAUGCUCAGUCAUGUAGCUUACUCGCAGAUGCUAUUUUACCUACGCUUAGGAUGUUGAAGAUAUGCGCGACACGACUCUAUACAUGACUCUGCGCAUAUCAAUAAGCGGAGGAAAAGGCAUAAAUGCUCAGUAUACCUACGCUUAGGAUGUUGAAGAUAUGCGCGACACG